GCCUCGGUGGUGUAGUGGUAGUAGCACGCGUCUGCGGUAAGGAUGAAACACGGGUUUGAUUCCCGCCUGAGGCC